rnacentral:rRNA from 1 species
CAACUUUCAACAACGGAUCUCUUGGCUCUCGCAUCGAUGAAGAACGCAGCGAAAUGCGAUAAGUAAUGUGAAUUGCAGAAUUCAGUGAAUCAUCGAAUCUUUGAACGCACCUUGCGCUCCUUGGUAUUCCGAGGAGCAUGCCUGUUUGAGUGUCGC